GACGAACGCUGGCGGCGUGCUUAACACACGCAAGUCGAACGGUAAGGCCUUUCGGGGUACACGAGUGGCGAACGGGUGAGUAACACGUGGGUGAUCUGCCCUGCACUUCGGGAUAAGCCCGGGAAACUGGGUCUAAUACCGGAUAGGACUGCGCGGUGCAUGCCGUGUGGUGGAAAGAUUUAUCGGUGCAGGAUGGGCCCGCGGCCUAUCAGCUUGUUGGUGGGGUAAUGGCCUACCAAGGCGACGACGGGUAGCCGGCCUGAGAGGGCGACCGGCCACACUGGGACUGAGACACGGCCCAGACUCCUACGGGAGGCAGCAGUGGGGAAUAUUGCACAAUGGGCGCAAGCCUGAUGUAGCGACGCCGCGUGAGGGAUGACGGCCUUCGGGUUGUAAACCUCUUUCAGCAGGGACGAAGCGUGAGUGACGGUACCUGCAGAAGAAGCACCGGCCAACUACGUG
rnacentral:rRNA from 1 species